rnacentral:lncRNA from 1 species
GACAGGAAAGAAAGAACCAUAUAAACCAAAAACUGGAUGGACUGAAGAGAGAGCAGCAAAGGCCAAUCCUUGAGUCACCUGCUGGAUGGCCAGCAUCAUCCCAGACACUGCAUCAGGAACCAGGUUUUCCUUCCAAUCGUAGAUGGGCACCCACUCCAAGAUGGGCAGCCGCCUCACGCACCACUCCUUGACAUCUUCACAGCGAACGGCCCGGAUCUUCCCCCACA